rnacentral:lncRNA from 1 species
CCACGGGCACCAGGCUUCUCGGCUGGGUAGCUCUUUGUCUCCUGGCAGCAGGCUGUUUUCAUGCCAAAGUCACACAGACUCCAGGAUAUUUGGUCAAAGGAAAAGGAAGGAAAACAAAGAUAAUGAACAAGUUCUUCAAGAAAUGGAGAUGCACAAGAAGCGAUUCUCAUCUCAAUGCCCCAAGAACCCACCCUGCAGCCUGGCAAUCCUGUCCUCGGAACCGGGAGACACCGCACUGUAUCUCUGUGCCACCAGUCCGUCCACAGCACUGAAAUGUCAGUUCCUGUUAGCACACAAACUUGCCACAGACCCAGCUCAGGAAGCAGGUGAUGUAUUAGGUUGGAAGGGAGUAACAGAAAAUAACUGGAGCCAGCUUAAGCCACAGUGGAAUUUAACACAAGGAUAAAGGGUGUUUAGCAGAAGUCAAGAGGUGAUGGACAGACAGUUCUGAAAAGGACAGACAGUUCUGAAAAGGCACCACUAGGGCCAGGCUCUAGAAUGACUAUCUCUCCAGCUCUGAUUUUUAUUCAGUUUUGCAGCUGCAUGCUUUUCUCUCCCUGUACACCAUCCCUUUUUCUCCAGGCCUCGUGGUGAGAAUGAGAUGGUCACUAAAGAUUACAAAUUCAGUUGCCAUAAUUUCCCUACAGUGACAAAUACCACCCCAGCUCUUUCUAAGCCUGAGUUCAAAAUCCCAGGAGAAAAAAACAGAUCCGUCAUGAUCCAGCCAUGAACCUUCUCAUAGAGCACUCAGCAGUAGGCAUGUAUGUAUGUAUUUAAAAUCACAUAAACGUUACUUUUCCACUCAGCUCAAGCAAGGGAAAUGCUCUGUUUUUCAGUAUGUACAUUCGGUCUGUUGGUUCUGUAUGAUAGAGAGUACUCAUACCCAUUUCUUCAGAAAUACAUACCCAGAUUUUCUCUGGUUUCCGGCCAGAAUUGAAAAUUAUUGUACAAAUACCUUCAUAGACUUGUAUGAUUGCUUUAUAGGAUUAUAUACCAAGAACAAGUUGUGAUUGCUGAGACAUGUAAUUCUAUGCAUAUUUUAUCUAUCUAAAUGCCACCACAGGUUCUUCAGGAUCACCGUAUACAUCUGCAAUCCCACAUAAAAGUGAAUAGGGUGUUUUCCUACAUCCUAAUACCUCCUUUAAUCCUUAUCCAGUGAUCUAGAUUGUUAUCAGUAUAGCGAUGUAAAGAGGUUCCAAUCUCCCUCUCUCUCCAUCCCCUCAGCCCUGCUCACCCAACACCAGAAUAUCAUCAGUGUUUACCAUAAAGAAACAGGUGACAAUUCUUUUAAAACUAAAUAAAACCAAUAAUUUAAAGGAACUGAGAGAUUACUUUAUACUACUAUAAUAAUAGGUGGCAACAAUCUAGAAAGCUGAAUAAUGUUCUCUCCCUCCUUUUCUUUC